UCUAUAUGAUGAACUCUUUUAUCCUGACCUUCUGUGGAGGUAACAAUCUGAUUUAAUGAGCCUGAUGG